ACUGUCUCCAGUUCUUUUGGUCUCACCCAUUGUCAUUUCAGUUAGCCUCCCUGAGGUGUUUUCAACUGCAAAGAUCUUGCUCUUGGUAACUCCUAAAUUCCAGUCCCACAUAAUGGUGUACCUCCUCAGCAUUUUCAAAUAUGACAAAUCUGAAGCUAUCCCCAUGGAGGUAGCUGUGUCUGGAAGACAGUAAGAGAUGUGUGUCCUCACAGAAGAGUCCAACAUGUCCAACGGCAUUGAUGUGGACAAAGGCUUUGCCAUUGCCUUUGUUGUUCUUGUGUUUGUGUUCCUAAUUGUGAUGGCUUUUCGGUGUGUAAAGUUGGUGAAGAAUCCCUAUGAGGUCAGCUCUACAACCGCAGAUCCGCCUCUGAGCUGAAGUACCAUCACACCUGGUGGUCGCCUCUCACGAGAGACUUGCAGUCUUUUUAUACCAGGGCGUCACUUUUAGCAGGCUCUUACACAGCCAAUGCUUGCCUCCAACCCCUGAUCCUUGUUUCUUCUUCACCUCCUAAACACCAGGACUACAAAGAAUGCUCCAUUGCAACAUUCAAACUCUUUUAUAUUGAUGUGUAUGAUCCAGACUUUAUAUUCCCUUACCUCUGCACUUCUCAACCUUGCCAUCUCCUGUUCUAUAACAAGCAUGUAAGAGUCAAGUAUCUCGCCAGAGAGAAAACUCGGGCUAUAUUUCAUUGUUCUUUUUCAGGGAAUCCAUUACUAAAGUUGAACUUAUUGACAAGA